rnacentral:rRNA from 1 species
GGUCACGGUGGGUCGUCAGAGGGGGGAGGACGGAGGGGGGACGGGGUGGCCGGACUGACUGUGCGUGAAGCGGGCGCAGGCGGUCGGAGGCGUCGGUGCUGAAAGGCCACCGCUUAACGGUGGGAAGCGCGCCGAUACGCUCAGACUGGAGGGCGGGCGAGGGUGGUGGAAUUGCCGGUGUAGUGGUGAAAUGCGUAGAGAUCGGCAGGAACACCAGUGGCGAAGGCGGCCACCUAGCCCGCACCUGACGCUGAGGCGCGACAGCGUGGGGAGCGAACUGGAUUAGAUACCCUGGUAGUC